rnacentral:lncRNA from 1 species
UAGAAAUCAGACCCUAUAAUUCCUGGAUUAUAUCAUACUCAUGAAUGAAUACCAUUGUUCAUUAUAAAAGGGAUUAUGGAGUCAUAACGAAACAAUAUCAAACAAUACUACGAAUUUUUCUGGAUUCUUUAAAAUGUUGGUAUGCACAAAACAAUGUAUUGAAAACUAUUCAUUCGUCUACGUCAAAGGAAAUCUCCUUUGCAUUACAGCCCAUUGACAGGUAUAUUGAUCGGUAUUGUAACAUAUUCUAUUUUAAGAGAUACUGUUUACAUGCGUUAUAACUACUUCAGUGGGGGUAAAAACAAAUGUGGAAACACUGUAAAUAGUACGUGACUCAACAUAAUAAAAAUCGACUACUUCUUAUGUAAUAUAUCAUUUGGACAAUGACGGAAUACAUAUUUAGGUUUAAACGUUUGAUUUAAUUUUGUGAAAAGUGAUUUGCCUGAUAUGUAGGGCUCGAAUCAUCAGCAACAACGUCAAUUUUCUACUUGCUAGAGUUGUUCGUUUGGGGCUUCUUCUUCUCUUCCUCGGUAGAGUUGGGAGACUCUCGAUUUUGAGUAGACCCGUUUGCCCUGGGUUUUGAUUAUGACAAUAUUGUCGCUCUUGGGAUCAAUCACCUCCUCUGGUUUUGAAGUGUCGUCGGAUAGAAUAAUCUACACGAAGCCCAAGGAUAAACGCCAUUCUAAGGUUCCAUUAUGAGUGAAGUCUUCUAUAUUUUUUUUUGUCCCUUGAUAGAAACCAUGGACAAACGGCAUGUUGGGUUUGCGGGAACUGGGAUUUCUUGAAUAAUAUUUGUUUUCUUGUUUGUACCCAGUGCUGAAGGACGAGAAGGGGAUGCCAUAGUACGAUUCAAAGAUCGAUUAUUGAGAAGAAGAAACUUAGCCCUCACAGAACUUGGAAAAGUCAGACACAAAAGCUAGCCAUUCAGGGGGAGAACUAAGCUCAUAUAAAUUGCACAUAGGAAGCUCAUACUAAGAUGGAGCUGGAAGUGGGUGCACAUUUUUCGAGAUGGAUUUAU